rnacentral:rRNA from 1 species
UACGGAGGGUCCGAGCGUUAAUCGGAAUUACUGGGCGUAAAGCGUGCGCAGGCGGUUUGUUAAGCGAGAUGUGAAAGCCCCCGGGCUCAACCUGGGAAUUGCAUUUCGAACUGGCGAACUAGAGUCUUGUAGAGGGGGUAGGAAUUCCAGGUGUAGCGGUGAAAUAGCGUAGAGAUCUGGAGGAAUACCGGUGGCGAAGGCGGCCCCCUCGGACAAAGAACUGACGCUCAGGCACGAAAGCGUGGGGAGCAAACAGGAUUAGAUACCCGGGUAGU